rnacentral:rRNA from 1 species
CCUACGGGAGGCAGCAGUGGGGAAUUUUGGACAAUGGGCGCAAGCCUGAUCCAGCCAUGCCGCGUGCAGGAAGAAGGCCUUCGGGUUGUAAACUGCUUUUGUACGGAGCGAAAAGGCCCCUACUAACACUGGGGGCCCAUGACGGUACCGUAAGAAUAAGCACCGGCUAACUACGUGCCAGCAGCCGCGGUAAUA